AUUGAACGCUGGCGGCAGGCCUAACACAUGCAAGUCGAGCGGCAGCGGGAAAGUAGCUUGCUACUUUUGCCGGCGAGCGGCGGACGGGUGAGUAAUGCCUGGGAAAUUGCCCAGUCGAGGGGGAUAACAGUUGGAAACGACUGCUAAUACCGCAUACGCCCUACGGGGGAAAGCAGGGGACCUUCGGGCCUUGCGCGAUUGGAUAUGCACAGGUGGGAUUAGCUAGUUGGUGAGGUAAUGGCUCACCAAGGCGACGAUCCCUAGCUGGUCUGAGAGGAUGAUCAGCCACACUGGAACUGAGACACGGUCCAGACUCCUAGGGGAGGCAGCAGUGGGGAAUAUUGCACAAUGGGGGAAACCCUGAUGCAGCCAUGCCGCGUGUGUGAAGAAGGCCUUCGGGUUGUAAAGCACUUUCAGCGAGGAGGAAAGGUUGAUGCCUAAUACGUAUCAACUGUGACGUUACUCGCAGAAGAAGCACCGGCUAACUCCGUGCCAGCCGCCGCAGUAAAAC
rnacentral:rRNA from 1 species